rnacentral:lncRNA from 1 species
UCGAUUCUUUUGGGAACAUAAUAAAAAAGUAAUCGGCAAGGUCUGCUGAGACUGUGGGCUACAUACCCGCAUUCCCUGCAUUCUAGACAUCGCCCUGAGUGGCCUUAGGGCCCUUAGGGUCCUCAUUGUUUUGAAGGCUUGGAUCCCGCCAGCGCCACAGAGCGACGCUACGAAGUUAAUGAGUGACACCUGCGAGCGAGAAACGAGAGCGGAUCACAGCAACAGGAAACCAUUGAAGCGGAUUUAAAAUAAUGCAGGAGUCCGUCCCAUCUGUAGAGAUCGUUCCAUUUAAAUAGUGUAUGAUACACAUUGUUAGAUACAACAAAUAUCCAGAGCAGGGGGACGAAGACAUUGAUAGAAACCAGAUAUGGCACAAGUAGCAGUUCACAGAGAAUGGAUUUCAUUGUACGCAAUCAAGUGAAUACGAUCGACAAUGCAGAGAGCAAUGAAUGAAUUGAUGAGAGUUAUUAUUAGUUACGAGCAUGAUAAUCAGCUCCAUCCUGAAACAGAUGAAAAG